CAUUCAUGGCUGACCUUCUUCAUUUAUUGGAAGUCUGAUCUCUUUUCCCUUUCGUAUUCCGGACCCCCCCCACCCCCACAUCUCUCACAAGCAAAAGAACCCUAGACCCGAGAGCCCGGUCCCCCUCUCGCUAUCCGAGUGGACGGUGGCGAUGGUGAGAUGAAGGCAUUGUGUUUAUGGAAGUUGGUUAAAAAUCUGAUCUUUGUUUCGCCCAUUUGACAAUUUCGUCGAACAUCCCCUUUGGUUUUUCUAUCACCGGCUUACAUGGAUGAUGAUGGCGGAUUAGGAAUCCGGAAUUGGGGCUACUAUGAGCCACCAUCGAAGGGAAACCUUGGGCUGCGGCUUAUGUCCUCUGUGGUGGAGCGCAAUGCAAAGCCCCUUCUAUCAAAUGGGGGGUUCAUUCAUCGGCACUGCAGCUUCCCGGAGCCAUCGGUUUCAAUGGACUUCAUGAGAGACGGUUGGACUCACCAGGGCAACGACAGCAGCAAGAGCUUCCACACUUUUCCGGUGCGCCAUCAGCAUCAUCCCAGUUACGGCGUCCUCCCUGAUCCCCCUACCGUCCACAACAUCCAGAUGCUGCAGCAUCCGGAGCCACAACCCAAGGACGACAAGGUUUUGAUGGCGGAGGACACCACUGGUAAAAAUGAGCCACCUUUGAAGAAGAGGCCCAGGGGUUGUCUGCAGAAAUCCUCGAAGCCCAAGAGUCCUAAGAAAGUCACAGCGCCAAGUGAUGAGGUUCCCAAUGGUUCAGUUUCACGAGGGAAGGCUGCAAGGAAGAGCACAGGCAUGAUCAUCAACGGGAUCGAUUUUGAUAUCUCAAGGAUUCCAACUCCGGUGUGCUCUUGUACAGGAAAGCCCCAGCCGUGCUACCGGUGGGGCGUUGGAGGGUGGCAGUCGGCAUGCUGCACCACCAACAUGUCAAUGUACCCUCUACCAAUGAGCACCAAGAGGCGGGGUGCACGCAUUGCUGGUCGAAAAAUGAGCCAGGGUGCCUUUAAGAAGGUGCUGGAGAAGCUUGCUGGAGAAGGAUAUAACCUUUCAAAUCCAAUUGACUUGAGGACAUUCUGGGCCAAGCACGGUACCAACAAGUUUGUGACAAUCAGAUAAAGGUAUAAAGUGUUGGAUGAUUUUGGCAGUCUUCAUCUUUGCUUCCCUGGUAUUAUAUUAAUCUGUGUCCUGAAGAGAUCAUUUUGAAAUAGUCUGAGUGCAAUUUUUGUAUCAUGAACUUUAACAAGGUUUCGAGGCUCAGACACUCAGCUUAUAUGGUGAAGACUUGGCUCUCUGUGGAUGUGCAGUGUUGCUCUCUAUGUUUUCUGUUAUGACCAAAAGGGGCUCAGUAUUUGUGAUGCUGCAAAACAUUGGACUUAAUGAUGGCUGAUUAUGAGUUAUACUCUGAUGGAGCUAUGCAGUGGGAUCAGAGAGUUCAUUAAAGAACAGUCAAAUUCAUGGAACAAAAUUGGAUGGGACAUGAAGGUUGAUCAUAUGGAUUUGUUCUUGGGAUGUGCACAAUGAUAGGAAUGGUAGAGUUUAACAAGUAAUUCAAGUUUCUUCAAAGAUGGGUUUUAAGUGCAUAUGUUGCAUUGAUGAUAACUGGUGUUAUUGUUUCAGGAGUCUCCAAAUUCCAAAUUCCAAGGAGAGGUAAAAAACUGAGCUUGAUGACAUAUCCACCUAUUUUUUCUUCAUUUCAAUUAUUAUUUACUGGCAAUGACCCACAUAAGAU